rnacentral:rRNA from 1 species
GAUGAACGCUGGCGGCGUGCCUAAUACAUGCAAGUCGAGCGAACGGACGAGAAGCUUGCUUCUCUGAUGUUAGCGGCGGACGGGUGAGUAACACGUGGAUAACCUACCUAUAAGACUGGGAUAACUUCGGGAAACCGGAGCUAAUACCGGAUAAUAUUUUGAACCGCAUGGUUCAAAAGUGAAAGACGGUCUUGCUGUCACUUAUAGAUGGAUCCGCGCUGCAUUAGCUAGUUGGUAAGGUAACGGCUUACCAAGGCAACGAUGCAUAGCCGACCUGAGAGGGGGAUCGGCCACACGGGAACUGAGAACCGGUCCAGCACCCUACGGGGGGCAGGAGGAGGGAAUCUUCCGAAAGGGGCGAAAGCCUGAGGGAGAAACGCCGGGGGAGUGAGGAAGGUCUGCGGAUCGUAAAACUCUGUUAUUAGGGAAGAACAAUUGUGUAAGUAACUGUGCAAAUCUGGACGGGACCAAAUCAGAAAGCCACGGCUAACUACGU